CAUGACGUGUUAUUGGCUGAGAUACUUUACAUCGACGCCCCAGUUAAAAACUGCAACCACUCAAAAAACCUUUUUGUCGAGUUUAAAAAUCAUCAAAUUUUAGAACUGCUAGAAUUUAUUGUGAAAUCGAGAUAAAAUAACCAAAUUUGAUAUGAAUAUUUGGAAUAAUGGUCUGAAUAUAAGAUAAUCUUGAUUUUUGCCUUCAGUUUUAACACA